rnacentral:rRNA from 1 species
UACAGAGGGGGCAAGCGUUAUUCGGAAUCAUUGGGCGUAAAGAGCGCGCAGGCGGCUUGGCAAGUCGGGUGUGAAAUCCCGGGGCUCAACCCCGUGACUGCAUCCGAUACUGUCAGGCUAGAGGUAGGUAGGGGAGAUCGGAAUUCCUGGUGUAGCGGUGAAAUGCGCAGAUAUCAGGAGGAACACCGGUGGCGAAGGCGGAUCUCUGGGCCGAUACUGACGCUGAGGAGCGAAAGCGUGGGGAGCGAACAGG